rnacentral:lncRNA from 1 species
CAGCCCAGCCUGGGGUGAAGCCGAUGGCCCACUCACAACUGUCAGCCCUCAUGUCUGCACUAACAGUCUUAGGAAAAUGUAGCAGGGUUUACUUAGCAUUAAAUGUUGUCACUUGUAAAUAAUACUCAACAAGUGAAUAAUCCUUCGGGACAGCUGAAAGAUGUUGGGUUCAUUCCCUGGAGCCAAGUUCUAAUGCUCUGCUGCUGUAACCGUCACAUUCCUAAGAACUGAGCAGCAGGCUCUGAUGUGACUGAGUGUACACAGCCCAGGAGUGAGUGAGUGCCCUUGGCUCUGAGGGUGCUUAGGCUCUGUGCUAGCCAGUGUGGGUAGCUGCUCCUCCCGUUACCCAUCCUAGCUGCAGGAAUCACCACCAGGGCCUGGUCUCCUUUUCUGCAGCGCCUAUCUACUGGCCAAACUAACUCUUGGGGUGCUGCACAAGAAAGCAGGUGCACCCCAGGAGAAGAUGCCUUUCUAAAAGUGCCACUAGACUGCCCUUGGAGGACUACCUGGCUCUGACCCUGUCCUCAGCUACAUUGCCUGAGCCACACCCUCUCCCAAAGGCUCUGAUAGUCUCCAGUAAACACCUUCUCCACCUUCCUUCUAGCAGCUGUUGAGGCAAAAUCUCGAUCCAGGCACAGUACAAUGCUCUGAGAAUUAGCUAGGUGAACAGAGAGUGUGUUAAAGCCUGGCUUCCAGCCCUUGGAAAGGAUGCUGGCUGGCAAGGGUGAGCUCCAGGGCUCUCUGCACUGCCCUGUGUCUUGCUGGAAUAAUGGAAACUGCUUUGUUCACAGGGCUUGUUGUCAUCCCCAAACCAGGCCACUUCUCCAGGUGGGACUGUAGUGUAGCAGGUGCACUGCUGCUCCCAGGCUCCCCGGACACGCGUGGACCGAGGGAGUGACAGACGACAACGGAGCCAUGAGCUGCGCUGGAGCCACAGGCAGGCGGCAGGCAGCAGCGGCCUGCAGGGCUGUGUGGAGCUGCUAAACCCAAAGAGUUGUUUCCAUUUUUAAGUCAGUCUGUUGGGGCUGCAGUAAAAACUGAGAAAUGGAGUUUUCUUGCUUUUUACUCUAAAAUUCAAUGUAACUAAAUCCAUAUAUAUAUAUAUAUAUAUAUAUAUAUAUAUAUAUAUAUAUAUACACACACAUAUAUACAUAGUGUAAAGUAAAAUGUUUCUUGAACAGAAACCUUAAAUCAAGCUGUUCUAAAUAGCACUUGGCUCUGGUUUUGCACUGAUGUGUGUUAUACGUUAGGUGGUCAUUAGACAGCCUGGGAUGCACUCAUGGAGACAGCUGUCACCUCCAACUUAAACACGUGCUGCAGACAGACAGAUGCUGCAAUCAUAGACUUAAAACAUUGUUUGCACUUAAAUAGUUUAAUGCUAAUAGAAAUGACUUUGACUAUGGGGUAACGGGCUCCCGGCCUCACGAUACGAGAGGAGAUGCCCUUUUUAUCUGUUAACAUUUAUUUUAGUACUGUUGUUUCCGAUGCAAUCAAGUCUGUAUUAUAUGUGUAAAUAAUGUAAUUCUGAAAUGGGGGUAAAUAGUCACUCCCACUAGUAAUUUUCAUCAUUUAAGAGUGAUAUUUCUAAUUCACAAAAACAUUAAUAUUAAAAUUAUCUUGAAUAUACUAUUUGUUUAUCCUUUUUU